rnacentral:lncRNA from 1 species
CGCCGGUUGCCCGCUAACAGUAAAAAGAGCAGCGGUUCCGCCGGAGGCGGCGCGGAGAAGACGCUCGGCUUUUCGCUCGGCUGCAGAUGUCGCCCAGAGCUUUUCGCUGGCGCAGCGGCCAGUCCUGAGCAGGCUGCAGGCAGGGAGCCGGGCGGCCGCCCGCCCGCCUCUACCCCCGGCGCCUCCCUGAGCGGGGAGGGCUGAGGGGGAGAAGGGCUUUCUGCUUCGGUGUCCUUUAAAGCAAUGAUUUCUACGUGAAUCUGUGGAUUCGCUGCACAGGCUCGAAAGAUGCAGCUCAUCCGCUUUCUAAACGACUUUGAAAAAAAUCAGCUUGGCAUCGGGGGGUGUCUUUGAUAAUAAUCUUGUUUCCAAAAGUGAGCCUUUAUGCAAAAGCAAACACUUAAACGUCUAUCAAGAAAAUGUUCAGCAAUGUCCUUCUGGUGAGAGAAUCUUUUGACAAAUUGCCUGGCAGAUCACUAACUGGAAAAGACAUCUAAGUUGCCACCGGCAAUUAGAGCAAACAGGAUUUUUCUGGAAGCUUCUUCCUUUUCCUCCUGCUCUUCUGCAGCAAGAAACCACUGGGUUCCCUCAAAGCCAAAAAGAAUCAUCACUUGGUUUAGCUGGCCAAUCAUGCAGCAGAAACAACCAAGAGCAAAAAAGAAGAAAAAUAUCUUUCUGGCUGCUGCUAUUUUAUAAUGUGGAAGGAGGUGAUGAAGAGAAAAACUGAUUAAGG